rnacentral:rRNA from 1 species
AUUGAACGCUGGCGGCAGGCCUAACACAUGCAAGUCGAGCGAGCGGCGGACGGGUGAGUAAUGUCUGGGAAACUGCCUGAUGGAGGGGGAUAACUACUGGAAACGGUAGCUAAUACCGCAUACCAUCAGAUGUGCCCAGAUGGGAUUAGCUAGUAGGUAGGGUAACGGCUCACCUAGGCGACGAUCCCUAGCUGGUCUGAGAGGAUGACCAGCCACACAGGAACUGAGACACGAUACAGACUCCUACGAGAGGGAGCAGUGGGGAAUAUUGCACAGUGGGCGCAAGCCGAAUGCAGCCAUGCCGCGUAUGUGAAAAAGGCCUUCGGAUUGUGAAGCACUUUCAGCGGGGAGGCGUUACCCGCAGAAGAAGCACCGGCUAACUCCGUGCCAGCCGCCGCGGUAAUUC